AUGCCUCCGAACGGGCAGAGCGUGCAUGGCGGCGGCGGCGGCGGCGGCUUAGUCUCGCCCACGGCCGCGCCGGCGCCGUCGUCCAAGAUGGACUGCUUCCUCACGUCCGUCUGCACGCCGCUGAAUCUCCAGUUCAUCGACGUCGCGUACCGCGUCAAGGUGGAGAGGACGGCGGGGCCGGCGAAGGAGCCACCGGGAAGGAUAUCGCACUCGGGUGGUGGUGGUGGUGGCCUCGGCGGCGUGUCGGCGGCUGUUGAGGAGAGGACGAUACUCAAGGGGAUCACCGGCGAGGCGCGGCCCGGGGAGGUCCUGGCCGUGCUAGGCCCGUCCGGCAGCGGCAAGUCGACGCUCCUGUCCAUCCUCGGUGGCCGCCUCGCCGGCCGCUACUCGGGCACGGUCCUGACCGGCGGCCGCGCCCCGUGCCGCGCCGUGCAGCGCCGCACGGGAUUCGUCGCCCAGGACGACAUCCUCCACCCGCACCUCACCGUCCGCGAGACCCUCGCCUUCUGCGCCAUGCUGCGGCUCCCCACCUCCGCCCCGACCUCCGCCAAGCUGGCCGCCGCCGACGCCGUGAUCGCGGAGCUGGGCCUCGGCGCCUGCGCCGACACCAUCGUGGGCAACGCGUUCGUGCGCGGCGUGUCCGGCGGCGAGCGGAAGCGCGUGAGCAUCGGGCACGAGCUGCUGGUGAACCCGAGCCUGCUGGUCCUCGACGAGCCCACCUCCGGGCUGGACUCCACCGCCGCGUCCCGGCUGGUGGCCACGCUGUCGGCGCUGGCGCGCAGGGGGCGCACGGUGGUGCUGUCCGUGCACCAGCCGUCCAGCCGCGUGUACCGGGCGUUCGACUCCGUGCUGCUGCUCUCCGAGGGGAGCUGCAUGUACCACGGCCCCGGCCGCGACGCCAUGGACUACUUCGCCUCCGUCGGCUUCGCGCCGGGCUUCCACGUCAACCCGGCCGACUUCAUGCUCGACCUCGCUAAUGGCUUUGCGCAAGCGGAGUACAGCGAUCGCGCGGCGGAGGGAGUCAGCGUCAAGCAGUCGCUGAUCGCGUCCUACGCCAGGGAGCUCGCCCCCAAGGUAAAGGCCGCCAUCGGCGCCGGCGCGCACGUCGAGAAUGGUCACGCCGGCGGCGGCGCGGGCGAGCAGCCGCUGGAGAGCUGCAGCGGGUCUGGGUGCACCAGCUGGACCAACCAGUUCACCAUCCUGCUCCGGCGCAGCCUCAAGGAGCGCCGCCACGAGACCUUCACGUCGCUCCGCCUCUUCCAGAUCAUCGCGCCGGCGCUGGUGGCGGGGGCCAUGUGGUGGCGCUCCACGCCGCUGGAGGUGCAGGACCGGAUGGGCCUCCUCUUCUUCAUCUCCAUCUUCUGGGGCGUCUUCGCCUCCUUCAACGCCGUCUUCGCCUUCCCGCAGGAGCGCCCCGUCCUCGCCCGCGAGCGCGCCUCCGGCAUGUACUCCCUCUCCUCCUACUUCAUGGCCAGGAUGGCCGGCGACCUGCCCAUGGAGCUCGCGCUGCCCGCCGCCUUCACCGUCAUCGUCUACCUCAUGGCGGGGCUCAACCCGGCGCCCGCAGCGUUCGCGCUCACGCUCGUCGUGAUCCUCUCCUACGUGCUCGUCGCCGAGGGGCUCGGGCUCGCCAUCGGCGCCCUCAUGAUGGACGCCAAGCGCGCCUCCACGCUCGCCACCGUCAUCAUGCUCGCCUACCUCCUCACCGGCGGCUUCUACGUCCACAACGUGCCGAUCUUCAUGAUCUGGGCCAAGUACUCCUCCUUCACCUACUACUGCUACCGCCUGCUCAUCGCCGUGCAGUACAGCGGGCACCUCGCCCAGCUGCUCCCGCUCGAGUCCACGCACGGCGAGGCCGGCACGUGGACCUGCGUCGCCGCCCUCGUCGCCAUGUUCUUCGGCUACCGCCUGCUGGCAUACUUCGCCCUGCGCCGGGUCAGGACGUGA
rnacentral:rRNA from 1 species